UGGUUUUGUAAUAGCAAUCCUNCUCAGUACUAGAGGAACUGCAGNUUCAGACCCCCAAUGUGUCUGCUUGAUUUAGGAGUCCCUGGCAUGAGGCUACCAUCUAUGGGCUUUGGCUGAAACUGUAAGUCAGAAUACCAUCUGGAUGUUGCAGUACCACAGUGCUGCCUCUGCCUCAGUGGGCUUCUGAUAGCCAGCUACCUGCCCUGCAGGAGGCAAACCAUGUGCAGAGCACCUCUGANGAUUCAGACCGAAGGGGUGGGCAGAUGCAUCACCACAUCUCCACUGUUGCAUAGCACAUAAUCAUGAGCCACUUGGUCCUAAAUCAUUCNUAGAUGACCUGAUUCUGGGUCAAGGUUUUGUAUGUAGCAGAGCAGCUUCCUUGCUGUGACCUAUUGCGAAUCAGCCCUUGACACAACCUUUU
rnacentral:ncRNA from 1 species